AAGAGAUCCCAUUUACCCAAAGAACCUAUGAAAUACAGGUUGGCCCAAAAAACCGAAAAAUCUGUGAGGUCCAUCCGUCACCCAACGCAGCCAGCAGCCCGAAAGCUUUCCUUGGAGGCAGCUGAGGGAUGGGCUCAACGGGCAGGGGAGGGGGCACAUCCAGCCCCCCCAUGAUGGGGCGAUGAUGAGGGCCCCUGUUGUGAGCGAUGCAUCGACACGGAGCCAGGCCCUGCGAGCUGCCCUGGGGUGAUGCGAGAUCCUUUAGCGGGUGCUGCGGGGUGCCACGUGACCCUCGCACCCUCCAAACCGCGCUUGGAGGUUUUGAAGACCCGACUAGACAAAGCCUUGGCUGGGAUGAUGCAGCUGGGGCUGGUCCUGCUUGGAGCGGGGGGGGUUGGACCAGAUGCGACCUCCGGAGCUCCCUUCCCACCUGAACUUUCCCCGCACCCAAAAGAAACCCAGAGAUUUCUAGCAGCUGUCCAGCGUGUCACGCCAUUCUGGCCUGCGGUGGGCUUUCUGAGUUCUUUGCAGCAGCAGGAUUGCUCUGUAUGACUUUCCUGUUGUCAAAAAAGAAGUGGAAACGAAGAGCUGGCGUUUUCUGGAGUCUCAAGAAAGGGGCCUGGAGUCUAAACGGAGGCUGUGAGCCGCUGCCCUCGAGAGCUUCUCUCAUUCCUUGGAGUGUCAGAACAGCAGAGACUUCCUAUGCCUGAAGAAGGGUGGUUGCACCUGAAAGCUUGCCAAGAACUUUUUCCCAAUGACUCAGUUGGUCUAAUAAAAGAGAUCACAUCUACUCGGAGAACCUGGCCUGCCUGUUAGGACCGAUACGGCUAAAAACAAAAACCCAGCCCAUUGCAAAGCGUUCUGGUUGGGGCAGGGGCACAGAUCCUGAUUCCUAAGAGGGCAAGGGGCCAGGAUACCUUUGAAGAGCUGGGUUUGGCUGGCUCGGAGGACUGGGCACCUGAUGAAUCGUUCUCUGAUUUCAGUAACCGAGACAAACCCCCCGCAACCCCGACAUAGGAACGAAGGGCUUCUCAGAUGCCCCCCGGAGUCUGUGUUGCUUGGAUGAGAUGCAUUUCCAUCACACGUUAUAAUUAAAGCUAAUUGACCUGGGACAUUGCAGCACACAUGAGGUUGCAGUCCUGGUAGCAAUGUCCAGCAGUGUUUCAUUGCUCCGGCAGAUGGCGGCCUUCUUCAGUCCUUGAAGACUUUGUCCGGCUGACAGCAUGGGGCCCUCAGUUGCUUCCUUGGGGUCCUGCACUGCAUUUACUGCUAAGUGAGUCAUUCUCUGCCUGGGAGAUGUGGGUGGGAGAUUUGGUAUGUUUUUACACUCCCCCAGUCAUGUUGGCCAGGGCAGCUGGAAGAUCAUUGCACACGUGGCAGAGACUGAUGGCUGUGCUGAGCACGGUCCUGGAGCAUUUCGACACUCAGUGGCUUUCACGUCCCUACCGUUGGCAGGGGGAGGAGGCAGAAGCUUCAUUUCCAGGCUUGCAAGGAUGUGGCGCUACGGUUCGCCCUCACAUCAACAGGCCGGUUUUGUUUUCAGUUGAUAAAUAGCUGCAGCUUGUCACUUGUAAAAGAAAGAAAGAACAGCACGAGCUGUGCUGUGAGAAGCGGGUGCAGGCACACAGGCUUCCUUGCAGCGCCUUGUCAGUGAGCCUGGACCUGGUCUAUCUGGAGGGCAGUACAGUCUCCAAGCUAUGGUCAGCCCCUCUGCUGCCACGGCCAGGUGCUACCCAGGUGCCCACCCAGGGCAGGGGUUAUAUGCUGGCCUCUACCCCUGCGUUGGCAUCGUGCCUCUUCAAUACAGCCCGUGUUCAAUUCUGCUAGAAGACGGGUCGCCCUUCUUAUGUCAUGAGGAGUCCUGGGACCCUCCUUGCUUUUUCCUCAUUCCCCUUUCUGUAGCAUUGUCUCCACUAGCAGACUCCGCUGUCAUUAGCUGUGGGAAGGUUAGACCCCGUCCUGUCUGCAGGGCAACCUUCCCCUUUGCUGAGUGGGGAGGGAUGCUAGCAACAAGUCUCAGCUAUGAAGGAAGCAAGGAUGCAUUCUGCCUGAGCGUCUCCUUGUCAGCUCCUCUACUCUUCGUCUGGGCAAACCCUUCCAGCUCGUCUGGAAAGUCACUGCAGAUUAAGUUAAACUGGGAAUUUACAGCACGGAGGCUAUUCUGAAAUAUCCCUUUCUAUGAUUCGAUAGCUGCUCUGUUUUCAGAGCCAUCCACAGCAUCCCCUGCCCACAAGCAGCUCUUCCAGUGAAUUUUCCCUCUGCCUGCAAGCCGUUCUUGCUUCCCAUCUCAAUCUAACAAAAUGCCCCCCCCCGCUUUGCAGUUUCAGCUCCAUAAAGGGGUCUUCCUUCCCCAUCCUAAAGUCCGGCUGUUCUGUCUGGUGUUCUAACCCUUGUGGUAUUUAUUGAUCGAUUGAUUUGCAUAAAGCCCCAGCUCCUGGAGUCAUGUGAUUAGGUGAAACUUGUUUUUUUUUUUUUCCUUUUCUUUUUUUAAUGAGGAAAAUCAGCUCUUGUAGUUGCACAAGAGCCUGAACAGGUUCCUUCAUGCACCUUACAGGCCCCGAGGAAAGAAAGCAAAGAAAAGAACUUCACAAGCCUACCAUUUCAGAGAAAACUUAUCAUGUUUUUGAGUCGAUGUCCUGAUUUUUGAAUGCUCAGGUUUGUCUGCUGUCUGUGCCCCACUGCCACGGACAGACGGUUUUACGUCACCGCUGGGUGAAGCAAUCCCUAGCGGACCUAGCGGAGAAGGAGGCUGGAGGGGGUUAAUGAAUGCCUGUGAAGAUCUCUGAUCCUGGGCUGGCUGGUGCUAGGACACUGAUCAUCCUUUUGCUGGGCAAUAAAGAUA